UACGUAGGUGGCAAGCGUUGUCCGGAUUUACUGGGCGUAAAGAGCGCGCAGGCGGCCGAGUAAGUCGAAUGUGAAAGCCCCCGGCUCAACUGGGGAAGGUCAUUCGAUACUGUUCGGCUUGAAGAUAGGAGAGGGAAGCGGAAUUUCAGGUGUAGUGGUGAAAUGCGUAGAUAUCUGAAGGAACACCAGUGGCGAAGGCGGCUUUCUGGCCUAUUCUUGACGCUGAGGCGCGAAAGCGUGGGGAGCAAACAGG
rnacentral:rRNA from 1 species